rfam:Enterococcus saccharolyticus ATCC 43076 genomic scaffold acpML-supercont1.1, whole genome shotgun sequence.
GUCCUCUUAGUUAAAUGGAUAUAACAAGGUCCUCCUAAGACUUAGUUGCUGGUUCAAUUCCGGCAGGGGACG